UACGUAGGUGACAAGCGUUGUCCGGAUUUACUGGGCGUAAAGAGCGCGCAGGCGGUCGAUCAAGUCGAGUGUGAAAGCCCCCGGCUCAACUGGGGAGGGUCAUUCGAUACUGAUCGACUCGAAGGCAGGAGAGGGUAGUGGAAUUCCCGGUGUAGUGGUGAAAUGCGUAGAUAUCGGGAGGAACACCAGUGGCGAAGGCGACUACCUGGCCUGUACUUGACGCUGAGGCGCGAAAGCUAGGGGAGCAAACGGG
rnacentral:rRNA from 1 species